CAAACGACUCUCGGCAACGGAUAUCUCGGCUCUCGCAUCGAUGAAGAACGUAGCGAAAUGCGAUACUUGGUGUGAAUUGCAGAAUCCCGCGAACCAUCGAGUCUUUGAACGCAAGUUGCGCCCGAAGCCGUCAGGCCGAGGGCACGUCUGCCUGGGCGUCACG
rnacentral:rRNA from 32 species